GAUAAACGCUGGCGGCGUGCUUAACACAUGCAAGUCGAACGAAGUUUUUCCUUCGGGAGAAACUUAGUGGCGGACGGGUGAGUAACGCGUGGGUAACCUGCCCUGUACAGGGGGACAACAGCUGGAAACGGCUGCUAAUACCGCAUAAGCACUUAGCACUGCAUGGUGCAUAGGGAAAAGGAGCAAUCCGGUACAGGAUGGACCCGCGUCUGAUUAGCCAGUUGGCAGGGUAACGGCCUACCAAAGCGACGAUCAGUAGCCGAUCUGAGAGGAUGUACGGCCACAUUGGGACUGAGACACGGCCCAGACUCCUACGGGAGGCAGCAGUGGGGAAUAUUGCACAAUGGAGGAAACUCUGAUGCAGCGACGCCGCGUGAGUGAAGAAGUAUUUCGGUAUGUAAAGCUCUAUCAGCAGGGAAGAAAAUGACGGUACCUGACUAAGAAGCACCGGCUAAAUACGUG
rnacentral:rRNA from 1 species